rnacentral:rRNA from 1 species
GACGAACGCUGGCAGCGUGCUUAACACAUGCAAGUCGAACGGAAAGGCCCCUUUGGGGGUACUCGAGUGGCGAACGGGUGAGUAACACGUGAGUAACCUGCCCUUGACUUCGGGAUAACUUCAGGAAACUGGGGCUAAUACCGGAUAGGAAUCCUUGCUGCAUGGUGGGGGUUGGAAAGCUUCGGCGGUUUUGGAUGGACUCGCGGCUUAUCAGCUUGUUGGUGGGGUAGUGGCUUACCAAGGCUUUGACGGGUAGCCGGCCUGAGAGGGCGACCGGCCACAUUGGGACUGAGAUACGGCCCAGACUCCUACGGGAGGCAGCAGUGGGGAAUAUUGCACAAUGGGCGGAAGCCUGAUGCAGCAACGCCGCGUGCGGGAUGACGGCCUUCGGGUUGGAAACCGCUUUCAGCAGGGGCGAAGCUUGUGGUGACGGUACCUGCAGAAGAAGCACCGGCUAACUACGUG